AACGUAGGACACAAGCGUUAUCCGGAGUUACUGGGCGUAAAGGGCGUGUAGGCGGACGUGUAAGUCUAUUCUGAAAGCUCCCGGCUAAACUGGGAGAGGCGAAUGGAGACUGCAUAUCUAGAGUGAGGAAGAGGAAAGUGGAAUUCCGCGUGUAGUGGUGAAAUGCGCAGAUAUCGGGAAGAACACCCGUGGCGAAGGCGGCACUCUGGGACGGUACUGACGCUGAGGUGCGAAAGCGUGGGGAGCAAACAGG
rnacentral:rRNA from 1 species